GAUGGUGGAGAUACAUUUUCAGCAUGAGACACACCCCUAGAGUCAAGGAAACUUUUAUUUUGAGCUAUUGACAGCUUUAACAAUUUAGUAUACUCCUAUGAACACAAUUUGGAGCAUAUCUGUUUCCCUCUACUUGAUUUCUCCAGAAUUUGGAAACUAUUUAGUCACUGAAAACAAAGCUGUGCUUUUGUAAAGCUCUGCAAACUGAAACUAGACAACUUGAACUUC